rnacentral:tRNA from 1 species
UAAAAAGUAAGCUAACUAAGCUACUGGGUUCAUACCCCAUUGAUAUUCAAUUGACUUAUAUUAA